rnacentral:rRNA from 1 species
AACGAACGCUGGCGGCAGGCUUAACACAUGCAAGUCGAACGCAUCGCAAGAUGAGCGGCAGACGGGUGAGUAACGCGUGGGUACAUACCCUUUUCUACGGAAUAGCUCUGGGAAACUGGAAUUAAUACCGUAUACGCCCUACGGGGGAAAGAUUUAUCGGGGAAGGAUUGGCCCGCGUUGGAUUAGCUAGUUGGUGGGGUAAAGGCCUACCAAGGCGACGAUCCAUAGCUGGUCUGAGAGGAUGAUCAGCCACAUUGGGACUGAGACACGGCCCAAACUCCUACGGGAGGCAGCAGUGGGGAAUAUUGGACAAUGGGCGCAAGCCUGAUCCAGCCAUGCCGCGUGAGUGAUGAAGGCCUUAGGGUUGUAAAGCUCUUUCACCGAUGAAGAUAAUGACGGUAGUCGGAGAAGAAGCCCCGGCUAACUUCGUGCCAGCCGCCGCAGUAACAC